AUCUGCACCAUCUAGCAAGAGGAAAGUUAAAAUGGAGUGAUUCUCCUUUCUUUUUAAAUGAAUCUUGUAUUUUAUCUACUCCAUGCCUGGAGCUGUCAUUUCUGAUGUAAAAUUUCAGUAAUGAAGCAGCAGGGAGGCAUCCAACUUGUCUGGCAUCAAGGUAACCUUAGGACUGAACAGAUGAAGUCUUUGAAAUGAGUUACCGUUGGCUGUUACAGCACCUUCUAAGGACUUCCCUGUUUGUGAGCUAGCUGUUUGGCUUAAUCUUCUCUUUGAUGCAUGAGAUAUCACAGAUCCAGGACAAAAACUUCAUUUUUCUUCCCCUUCUCACAGAGUUCUACUGUGUAGCUUCUCCAGAGCUGGCACCCUGUAGACUUGUAUUGUCAUUGCCACAGUUGCUGUAAUGUUCUACCUUGAGUAAAUGCUGAACUUUUUUUUUUUAAGGUCACCAAUUUACUUUUCUCCCGUCAUUCUGUGCAUUAGCUAGGAAAGAGGUCUCAGCUGUUUGCCAGGAGAAAGGAUUGCUUGGUUGUGCUUAGGAAUACAAACUUUCCCCGUUCUGCUAGUUUUUCUCACUUGAAACUAAGAAAACACAUAGCCUGCAAACAUUUCAAUAUUUUGGAGACCAAACAUAUUUUUCGGCUGCCAAACACGAGUCAGGUUCCUAGCCAUGCUCCUGUUUGGGGCGCUCCAGCAUCACAAGACCUAACCGGAAGCCAGGAAUCAGAUGAAACCGUUGAAGGUGGAAGGAAAGGACUAACUAUAACAGGAACACGGUACCAUGUGAGAGAGGAAAGAACAUUAGUGCCUCAGUGGGAGCUGCAUCAGGUCACAAGCAAAACGACUUCACCGAUUUCAUCUUGUUUUGUGUUUGUAUACACAAAAAAAGACGAAAUCAGAGACGCACGAUUCGGCAGAGACGCACGUCUGCUGUGGAGCAAGGCAGGCCUGGAAUUGCAGGGGACGUUUCCAGUUAGGUAGAGGGCUCAGAAAAGCCCAUUUAGUGCCUCCUAGCAACAGAUCAAGCUCAAAUCAUGUGCUUUAAUAUCUGCGAUUGGUAAAUCCCAUGCUGAACUUUAAGCAAUAGAGUAGUCCCACUGAAGUCAAUUAAAGACCCACAUUUCCCUGGCUGGUAGCCAUCAUCCCUUCACACCUACAGAAGACAAAAACACUUAGGUUUUGGGUUAUUCUGUUGAAUUCAC
rnacentral:lncRNA from 1 species